GUAACAAGGUCUCCGUUGGUGAACCAGCGGAGGGAUCAUUACCGAGUUUACAACUCCCAAACCCCUGUGAACAUACCACUUGUUGCCUCGGCGGAUCAGCCCGCUCCCGGUAAAACGGGACGGCCCGCCAGAGGACCCCUAAACUCUGUUUCUAUAUGUAACUUCUGAGUAAAACCAUAAAUAAAUCAAAACUUUCAACAACGGAUCUCUUGGUUCUGGCAUCGAUGAAGAACGCAGCAAAAUGCGAUAAGUAAUGUGAAUUGCAGAAUUCAGUGAAUCAUCGAAUCUUUGAACGCACAUUGCGCCCGCCAGUAUUCUGGCGGGCAUGCCUGUUCGAGCGUCAUUUCAACCCUCAAGCACAGCUUGGUGUUGGGACUCGCGUUAAUUCGCGUUCCCCAAAUUGAUUGGCGGUCACGUCGAGCUUCCAUAGCGUAGUAGUAAAACCCUCGUUACUGGUAAUCGUCGCGGCCACGCCGUUAAACCCCAACUUCUGAAUGUUGACCUCGGAUCAGGUAGGAAUACCCGCUGAACUUAAGCAUAUC
rnacentral:rRNA from 1 species